GUUUCUUUAGUAUAAUUGAGUACAUUUACCUUCCAAGUAAAAAGUUUAAUUACUUUAAAAGAAAUA
rnacentral:tRNA from 1 species